CUAGAGAAACUCACAAAAGAAGCAGAGAGCCUGGCAGAAUACCAAAAACUAAUGAAAAAGCACAAUAUAACUUUGGCCCAGUUAAACAAGAGUUUUGAUGAGGUUCAAUCAAGACUGGAACGUAUAGCAGCUGUGAAGCCCAGUAAUGAAUUUUUGAAUCAGUAACAGAUAAUGUCCCGAGUUUUCCUCGUGUACUGUACUUUCCAAAGCUGUUGUAGAACACAAAUGUAUAAGAAACAUCAGUAUAGUUCAUGUUGGAGUAGAAAUUGGGCAAAAAGUAAACAUGCUUCUUUAACUUUUA